CAGUAGCCGCGGUAAUACGAAGGGUGCAAGCGUUAAUCGGAAUUACUGGGCGUAAAGCGUGCGUAGGCGGUGAGUUAAGUCUGCUGUGAAAUCCCCGGGCUCAACCUGGGAAUGGCAGUGGAUACUGGCUCGCUAGAGUGUGGCAGAGGAUGGUGGAAUUCCCGGUGUAGCGGUGAAAUGCGUAGAUAUGCGGAGGAACACCGAUGGCGAAGGCAAUCCCCUGGACCUGUACUGACGCUCAUGCACGAAAGCGUGGGGAGCAAACAGGAUUAGAUACCCCGGUAGUCCCUGUCUCUUAUAC
rnacentral:rRNA from 1 species